ACGGGUCUCCGUUGGUGAACCAGCGGAGGGAUCAUU
rnacentral:rRNA from 1 species